AGGGAGCUCCGAACCUAUUAAACCUAAAUAUUAUGUAUGGAUUACUUUACCUAUUCAAUUUCUUUUUCGCGCGGUACUUUCUCGUCUCCUCUGUGUAAUUUUUUUCGUUUUCCCUCCUUCCUUCUCCUCCAUUCUCAUUCAUUCUCCUUCCAUUGUUCUCGUUCAGUUGUCGCUAUUAUCGAAGUAGUGGAGGUGGUUGGGUAAAGUUGUUGUUCGGCGUUUGAAGUUCUCGAUUGUGGUGGGUGAAACCCUUGCCUUGUUUGACUGAGAAAAUUAGCUCCGAGCCAAACCCUAACCAGUUUCGUUCCGAACAAGAAACCCAAGAGAAACAUUGAGAUUCAUUCAAUCACCUUAACUUAAAUGCGUGUAGCUACGCAUUCCGUCGAGGGAACUUCGAUCUUCGUUUUCAACGAUGGAUGCGUGGAAUGCAGAUUUUGUGGAGGAGAUUGGGAACUCCGUGGAAUCGUUCCAAAAGUUUUUUUCUUUCGUAGAGAGAUCUCUUCCACAUCCAGAUUGAUCAGUUUCAAGAAAUCGUCGUCACGCAAUGCAAACUCACCGGCGUCAAUCCUCUCUCUCAAGAAAUGGCAUACAAGCAACAGAUAUAUCAGACUUGGCAUUUGAAGCAAGAUUUUGUAUGUGGUCAUGGCAAAACCUUUUGCUGGGAUUUAGUUUUCUACUAUUCCUGUCGACAAGGCACAUUGUGGUGUAUUAUGGAAAAGAAAUGAAGAACCUAAUUUGAUCAAAUGCAUUAUAGAAUUUGAAACAGAUACAUGAUCACAACGUUCAAUUUUCCAAGAGAAGCGAACCUUCUAUAUGACUCAACCUGUGAAACUACUCUGAUUAUACCAAAGGAGUAAUCUGCUUCCAAUUCGUGUCAAGCUACAGAUGAGGAGGAAGUCUUCUAAAUUCUAAAUGAAAGAUCCCUUUAUCCUAUAGGAUGGAUUGAUGUAUGUCUUCCUAUCUUUGGAAGGGUCUGUGACUGUCUUUAUCUCUAUAGGAGUAGGAUUUGGUGUGGUUGAUUACAACUUGUCAUCUAUAUUGAACUUGUCAUCUAUACUGAAAGACUAACCCGUGCAUUAGAAAUUUUGAAGAAGUCAAUUGUAGACUCUAGUGGACACUUUAUUUUCGUUAACGACUCAGAUGUCUCUCCAUUUCAAUGGUCUAAUGAGCAUUCCUUUUUUGUUACUAUUAUUCUAUUACACAUUACUAUUAAAACUUGGUGUUGAAAAAGUUAAAAAUAUUGUUCUAAAGGCAUCCUUUUUCUAGAAUUCACAGCAUAGAUCAAAGAACCCUGCGAUCAUUUGUGAGGGGAAAUUCCUAUAGAGGAAGAAUUACCACUCUAACAUACCUAGACGAGAAUGAAGGCGGAGAGUGAGAGUGCUGGUACUGGCUACCUUACCUUUUCAGAUCCAAAGGGGAGAUGCUGGUUUCUCAAGUCAAAUUUGCAUUUGUAUUUAGAUUAGCAAUCACCAUUUUAUUCAUACCAGGAAGCUUAUAUGGGCCCUGAUGUCCGACAUAAAAUAGUCAAUUGGAUAAAAGACCAUGUAUAUUCUGGUGCAUUUCAUAAGGGUUACCUUCACACUUUCAAUAUGUCUAAUGGAAGUGGAAAAGUGGGUGAUAAGAGACUGGUUUGAGCUAUUGACAUGACUGCAUUUGAACUUGAUCUACUAGAAGAAUAUGAUUCACGCUUUAAGAAGUUGAGUCUAGGUGAUAAAUUGCCUAUCAAAUUCUUCAAGUGAUUAAUUGUUAGAAAGACAAGUUAUUGAACUAUAGACAAUGUAAUUGUUAAUAUUUUAAGUUGGAUUACAAACAAUGUAAUUUUCAAUUUCUAUUUAUAAUUGUUUCUUGAUGAUUAGAUGUUUUAAUAUUACAUUUUGAGUUGUGUAAUUAUGUUAUGUAAAUAUA